rnacentral:rRNA from 1 species
AUUGAACGCUGGCGGAAUGCUUUACACAUGCAAGUCGACCGGUAGAGGGGGCAACCCCUCGAGAGUGGCGAACGGGUGAGUAAUAUAUCGGAACGUGCCCAGUCGUGGGGGAUAACGUAGCGAAAGUUACGCUAAUACCGCAUACGAUCUAAGGAUGAAAGCGGGGGAUCGCAAGACCUCGCGCGAUUGGAGCGGCCGAUAUCAGAUUAGGUAGUUGGUGGGGUAAAGGCUAACCAAGCCAACGAUCUGUAGCUGGUCUGAGAGGACGACCGGCCACACUGGAACUGAGACACGGUCCAGACUCCUACGGGAGGCAGCAGUGGGGAAUUUUGGACAAUGGACGAAAGUCUGAUCCGGCCAUUCCGCGUGCAGGAUGAAGGCCCUCGGGUUGUAAACUGCUUUUGUACGGAACGAAAAGGUCUCUCUUAAUACGGGGGGCUCAUGACGGUACCGUAAGAAUAAGCACCGGCUAACUACGUGCCAGCCGCCGCAGUAA